rnacentral:rRNA from 1 species
GGCCCUACGGGGUGCAGCAGUCGCGAAAACUUCACACUGGGGGCAACCCCGAUGAGGGAAUUCCUAGUGCUAGGACAUUUGUUCUAGCUUUUCUCUGGCGUAGAUAACUAGAGGAAUAAGGGCUGGGUAAGACGGGUGCCAGCCGCCGCGGUAA